UGUGAUGUUCGACAAGGACGUAUGGUUGUGAUGGACAGGUGUCCACAAAUUUUUGGCCAUAUAGUGUAUAUUAGGGAAAUCAGUUUGAUCAGAAAUAUAUAUAUAUAUAUAAAAGGCCUUAUCCCUGACCAGGUGAACUAUCAUGAGUAUGUGUUGUUGUUUUUUAAAUUGAGACAGCGAAGCACUUCUGUAAGUCGCUCUGGAUAAACACAUCUGCCCAAUGCCAUAAAUGCAAAAUGUAAUCGUAAAGCAACAUUGGCACAAUUGUACCAUAAUCCAUAUAAUACUUUAAUAAGAGGCAUACUGUAUAUUCAAUAAUGACCUGAGCUCAGGUUACUGUCCGUGUGUAUGCUCUCCUCGUGUCUGCAUGGAUUUCCACCAGGUUCUCUGGUUUCCUCCGACCUCCUCAUAACAUAGCAGUAACCGGAUUGGCUACGAUAAAUUGCUCCUAGACGUGACCGUCGUGCAAGGUGUCCUGAGAUGAACUGCCAGCCCAGUUCCUGGGAUAGAUGCCAGAUCCACUGCGACCCUGACUUGGAUAAAACGGCUACCGGAAGUGAACGAGACGGAGAUGUGAAACUAAGCUCACUGCGAAAGGACCAGCGGAGCGUAACAGUGCCGGAUAAAUGAUUUGUUAAGGUUCUUUUUCCUUCAGGUACAUGAGGGUCACGGGGAACCUGGAGUCUAUCCCAGGGAGCAUCGGGCACAAGGCGGGGUACACCCUGGACGGGGUGCCAGUCCAUCGCAGGGCGCAAUCACAUACACACUCACACACCCAUUCAUACACUACGGACACUUUGGACACGCCGAUCAGCCUACCAUGCAUGUGUUUGGACUGGGGGAGGAAACCGGAGUACCCGGAGGAAACCCCCGCAGCACGGGGAGAACGUGCAAACUCCGCACACACAGGGCCACGGUGGGAAUCGAACCCCCGACCCUGGAGGUGUGAGGCGAACGUGCUAACCACUAACAUAUUUUUGGAGACAUAUCAUUUGACACCAUUAUGUGACCUGAUCAAAUAAAAGCAGCUCUUGGUUGUGAGCUCUGACUUUUGUACUUUGCUGUGUAUACUUUAUUAUUCAUCAGUCAUCAUAUAGUAAAGAAUAACUGAAUAAUCAACAACAACAACAACAAUUACCUUGUAGAUUUACAGUAUUUUACUGGCAGCAGAGUU